AUCCUGGAUGUAAUAAACAUAGAAGUUUCUAGCAAAGGCGGAGCUUUGGUUGGCUGGGUCUAUAAACGGCAGCUUCACAUCACUUCUUUCCUUUCUGCUGGCAGAGUGUGCUCUGACCAGGCUGUCCUGCUGACGGCAUGUCUCAGGGGGUCCAAUUACAAUGGAGCUCCGACCUUUUACGCUUGCUUAACUUGUUAUUCAGGAGGAGAAAGAAGAGACUGUUCCCAAGGGCAGGCCAGCAGUGUCCCGAGUCUCUCCGGAGUCCAGUGAUGCUGUUGUGCAGAUCCAGUGCUUGGUAGAAAAGAACCAUCUGAAGAAUGAAAAGCACUGACCUCGAAGCAACGUAUCAACUACGAGACAAAACUGAAGCAACCACAAAACGCAACAAAUGAAUGAAACCCCCCCUUACCCUUUGGUCUAUCUGUAUCCUAACCUCCGGGUUAGUUUAUGGAGGGCCGGCUUCUGGUUGUCUGCGUUGCUUGGUUCGGCAUGGUUCGAGGGGUCAUGUCGAUAAAACGUAUUUGUUCUCCCUUUUUGUAUUUAAGGCAUGCUGCAUUGUUUCCUACUGUUUAUUAAAAAAAAAAUCAAAUAAAAAUAGAAAAACUUGAAACUGAA